rnacentral:lncRNA from 1 species
CCCAGGCCUAAUUCCAUUUCUUGGGAUCGUCCAUUCUCUGACUCACGACAGGGUAUAGGAGGCCUAACCAAUUAUGAGCACAAAGGAGAGAUUAAGUGAACCAGUCCCCUGGUUUGUGAUGCAGAGUCCUUCAUUCAGUUUCCAGUGCAACCCUUUCUGAUGAAUUCACCCCAGAGUCACUUUUACUAUCAUGGGAUCCAUCAUAUUAAAACGGCACUUAGGAGCUGGGUGAGGCAGUGAGGAGGACAAUGGAAAGACUGAGCAGCAAGAAGAGAGGAGGGUGAGGUGGGAACCCACAUGGCUGAGUGGAAAAAGUUAACUGAACUGCCUUGGAAAUAGGCUCCACAUAUUUUUGGAUCAAGCCUUAGUGUUCUAUCUCGUGUGUUUGACAGAGCGGAUUAUGUUUUAACUUUUCUUCCUCUACCUGACAAAGUUAUUUUGAGGAAUAAUCAUGAAAUGAAACAAAUAAUUAAUGGCCAGGAAACUUUAAGUAGUGAACAUUUUCUUUCACUAACCCUUAUAUGGUCAUGUCAGUAAAAAUAAAUAAAUGAAAAUAAACAUGCCAUUUCAGAUUA